GGGCACUCUAAGUUGACUGCCGGUGACAAACCGGAGGAAGGUGGGGAUGACGUCAAAUCAUCAUGCCCCUUAUGAUUUGGGCUACACACGUGCUACAAUGGACAAUACAAAGGGCAGCGAAACCGCGAGGUCAAGCAAAUCCCAUAAAGUUGUUCUCAGUUCGGAUUGUAGUCUGCAACUCGACUACAUGAAGCUGGAAUCGCUAGUAAUCGUAGAUCAGCAUGCUACGGUGAAUACGUUCCCGGGUCUUGUACACACCGCCCGUCACACCACGAGAGUUUGUAACACCCGAAGCCGGUGGAGUAACCUUUUAGGAGCUAGCCGUCGAAGGUGGGACAAAUGAUUGGGGUGAAGUCGUAACAAGGUAGCCGUAUCGGAAGGUGCGGCUGGAUCACCUCCUUU
rnacentral:rRNA from 1 species